UACGUACGAGGCGAGCGUUAUCCGGAAUUACUGGGCGUAAAGGGCGCGUAGGCGGCCUGUUAAGUCGGACGUGAAAUCCCCGGGCUCAACCCGGGAACUGCGUCCGAUACUGGCAGGCUUGAAUCCGGGAGAGGGAUGUGGAAUUCCAGGUGUAGCGGUGAAAUGCGUAGAUAUCUGGAGGAACACCGGUGGCGAAGGCGGCAUCCUGGACCGGCAUUGACGCUGAGGCGCGAAAGCCAGGGGAGCAAACGGG
rnacentral:rRNA from 1 species